GGGAACGCACUCUGGUUCUCUACCGUUACUGCAAAGGACUCUGGGAUGUACACAUGCCACACAGGGUAGGUAGUCUGUUGACGGUCUUUGGGUAGGCCCCUCUCUCUGUUUCACAGGGUAGGUUGUCUGUAUUGACUCUGUUUGGGUAGGCCCCUCUCUCUGUUUCACAGGGUAGGUACUGUAUUGACUCUGUUUGGGUAGGCCCCUCUCUCUGUUUCCACAGGGUAGGUAGUCUAUAUUGACUCUGUUUGGGUAGGCCCC
ensembl:lncRNA